CAGGUGGAUCUCAUCACUGAUCAGCAGUGUGUGCUUCCACUCUGAUUGUAUAAAAGAGCUAGAGAAGAUCUCUUCUGUAAGCAAAAAACUCUGAACCUGUGUGGAAAAAGGAUACUUAUGGAAAACUGAAGAGGCAGCCGGUUUUUCACCUGAAAAGAAUUUCAAGUGGAGCAGAAAAGGUUUCCAAGAGAAACUGAAAAGGUUUUCGACAGAUGCUGAAGGGAUUUUCACCUGAAGGAAGCUAAAGUGAAGCUGAGCUAAAGCAAAGGCGAAAGAAACCGGAAGGAACCUUAAAACUGGAGCUGAAGAAAACUGAAGCUAAAGUGAAAACUAAAGGAAAGCUGGAGUGAAGGCUGAAGAAAAGCCAAAGGAAAGUAAAAGGAAAACCAGAAGAAAAACAAAGGGAAAUCUUAAAGCCAAGAUCAAAGUUAAAGCAAAAUCAAGCACAAAGAAGAAAGAAAAGAAA